ensembl:ncRNA C02G6.5 ncRNA
CUCUCUGUCCUUGAAACGGAAUUCAAUCGCACUCAGCUCUGCCAAUUCUUCAUGGAUCCACUGCUGAGGACCUGCUGAUUGAAGCAUUCCGAUGUAAUUGAACAUCAGUUGUAUUAUCUCAUCGACGUGUUCGAGCCCUUCAGUACUCAA